GGAAAACAGAGAGAGCUUGUAAUAAUGAAAAAAGGACAGAAUUUUGUAACCAAUCACUUAUUGUCUUUUAAAAACACAUAACCACAUUAACUUUUUGCUUUAUACAACCAUCUAGAAACUAUAAAACAGUACCACAUUGUGCAUUUAACCUACUUAUCAAGGAGGGAACUCCACACUUCAUAAGAAUUCUACCCAUGUAAGAAGGAAAAAGGAGACAGCUAAUAGCAUAGUCACAGAUACAACAUGAGUCCAAGCAAGCAUCAAUUCUUUGACGUCACCUUUUCCAUUUACCAGAGUGGAGAGAAUAAGAAAGAAAGCAAGGGAGAAAAAAGAGGGAAAGAAGCACCCACAGGGGACUAAUCACAUUCCAUAGUUACUUUGACAACCAUAGCUCAGGGUUUCAUAGAAUAGUAUCAUUUGACCAACACAAUGUGGUAGGAGCUGAAGGAAACAUGAGUAGAGGGAGAGGGUUUGAAAAGACAGAUACAUUUUACACCCUAUUCCCCUCCUAAAUACUCUUCAUUGAUACAAGCUUCUGUGCUAAUCCAGGUUGAUGGCACCAUAAAAAAAACUGAAGGUGGCUUUGAUUUAAUAAUAAAAUUAACCAAAGGUCUGCUACAAGGAAACAUACUUUAGAUGAAAAUUAGUAUAAUGAAUCUCUUCACUUCAGGGGAAACUCUCCAUCUUGUCCCUCUCACUUCCUCUUCCACGGUAAGUAAGCAAAUACAUUUUGGAAGGUUGUUUUUAAGGGGCAACUCAAUAUCAGCCUCUUGCCAGUUUAUAUAAGAACGGCAUUAUGAGCCACACCAAUCAGUAGGCUCCUCUCCACCAGGCAAACUUCUCAUAUCGCUUAAACUAAGCACUUCCAAAUCUAAUGAGAUGCUUUUACUUUUUCAUAUUUGGUGAGUAGAGUGUGGUUUAAUGCUGGUUAAUCUAUUGGUUUGUAGCACUGACCACCACAAAUUUCUUAUGCUCUAAAAUAACUCUGUCCCAAUGACCAUGGUGCUCUGACAUUGUAUAGACUAAAUAUACAAUGCAGAAAGUCAGCUUUUUAAAAUUUACUAACAAGACUAAUACCUGAAAUGUAGAAAUGCACGUGUUUUAGUAAUUUAUCUCAUUUUAAAAUCUCAUUUUAACUCUCCAGGCUUCGGCUAAUCAUCAUUAGAAAUAAAGUUUACAUGCACCAUAAAAAGAAAAUGAACUAAGCUGACAAAUUUGAUUUAUUCUUUACUUUUUUCCCAAAGUUCUACCAGAACUUAUAUUGUCUUACCCUAGUAACUAUAGAUUUUAUCUGUAAUGAUACUGGCUUUUAAAAUGAUUUGAGAAAAUUAUGGCGAUUUUGUAGUUGAGAAAGCCAUAGAUACAACAUGAUUAUUUUUUAAAUCUGAGAGGCUAUCAAUUUAAAACAUCUAAAUAUGUUAUAUAGUAACAAGUCUUUAUUUUUUGAGAGUUAGGCAAAUUUCAUGAAAACUAUUAAAGAAAGCAAUAAUAAUCCAAAUUUUUUUUUACCAAAUAAAGUACAAUCACUUCAGAGAGUCCUAAGUUUUUGAAUAAAAUAAUGCCACGGACAGGGUUAUUCUCUAAAUUAUUUUCCUUACACUAAGAAAUUUUUCUAGUCAUUGCUUAGAAAAUUGCAAUUUUCCUGAGUAAGGAAAGUAAUGGAGAGAAAUGAUAGGAAAAUAAAGGCUGGUCUCUACCAGCAACAUACUCCACUGAAAGGAGAGACAGUAGGCACCACCUCCACGCCAUCAAGUUCACAUACUUCCCUAAGUGCCCUGGCUUCCACUGCCAAGGUCCAACAUCCUCUUGCUGUUCUCUGCUAUUUCCACAGCUAUUUUAUUUCUCUUCAACUAAAUGUCUGUUAAUCUGAUGUCUGUAUGAUUUAAUAAGAGGUUACAUUUUUCUGUUCUUAACUUGCCUUAAUUCACCUGUUAAGAAAUAAUGAACUGCUUUCUUCAGUUAUCAUGACUGUACUUGGGUCAAACCAUGGUGGAAGGAGACAAUAUAUCAACAAGUUACUUCUAGUAAAAUCUCAGUUAAAAUAUUAGAACUCUUAUGUUGAGAAUAUCAGGAAGUCACGGAUCCCAGGGGCUGGGCUCUAUUUUCCUUCUUUAAGGGUCUACAUAGGUUACUGCGGGGGUGACUGACGUUCUCUUCUCAUAUCACUGCUUCUGAAUCUGAAGUUAGCAGCUUUCUUAAGGAGAAAACUGGCAGAUGCUGGAAAAGACAGUUGCACGUAGGUUUUCAACUUCUUCUCAACUCCAAAAAUAACCAUUAUGACCUGAUCAAUGAUCACUUAAUCUUUGAUCACUUUAUUGUCUCUCUGUAUGGUAUGAAAUUAUCAACUAUUCCAUUUUAACGGUAUAGGUAGCCUUACAUACAGGCACAUAUUUGUGCACAGAAAAUAAGCCACUUUUGUCUUCUAAUUUUUCUAUACACAUCAAUGCUUUCUAUACUAUCUAUCAUAAAAUGAAAAAUGAACUUUAUUCUUUUAUUUAUACUUUCUUUUCAUUCCUUUGGGGAGCAUUUUAACUGACAUUAUAAACUGAGUGAUUCUCAAACAAAAUACAACUAGAUAAAGCUAAAAUCAGAUAAGUUUUACCUUUAGUUAGACUGUUACUCCUUUAAAACGACUGUGAUGUUCAUUUCCUAAGAGUUCUAUUGAGAGUUUCAGUGUAGUGGAGUCUCCAACAAAAUCGUAGGUAGGGUAGAGCAUUUGCAACUGCCAGGGCAUAUAAAAUUUAGGAGAGAAAAAUGUACAUUGCCUUUUUUGGAGGAAAAAAUUUAAAUGUACACUCUGUCUCCCAGACUGUUUCCUCUUGAUGAGGAAAAGCCCUCUUCGUCUCUCUUUACAG
ensembl:lncRNA